CUUAAUUAGAUACUAUUUUUAUUUCCGUUUUUCAUUAAAUUUAUAGAAACAAUAAUUACCUACAUGACGUAAAGUUAUUUUUAUCAUAAUUAUGAUCGAUUUAUUCAUUUAUUGUAUUACAAGCACAAUUUGAUAGUCUGUAGUUGUUAAUUUGUUAUUCAUAGGUCACUUCAGCACCAGUCAAUUGAGUAUAUUAUAUAUAAAAAACUGCCUUUAAUUUCUAUUAAAUAACAUGAAUAUAAUAACGAAUAUAACAUAAUAUAAUCUUGCAUUGAAUUAUAUACAAUAAAUAAAACUUAACGAAAAUAUUAAUAUAAAUACAACAUAAUAAGGAACGAAAUAUAAGCAACAGCGUGUGACGUCACGAAGGAACAUGUCGGAUCUUGUUCACAGUGUUCUUCGUUAAGACGCACAUCACUCACAUCAGUGUUUCAGUGUAUUAAUCUUUGAAGUGAUAAAGAAUUUUGUGUCAUAAAAAAGCGUUUCUUGAAAGUAUAAUUAUAUUUUUAUAUAACUUAAAAGUUAUUUGUCGAUUAGCAUAUUAAUGUAAAUAAUAUCAAGAUUAAAUAAGUUCAAUACAAAAACUGAACCAUAUUAAUAUUGUGUUAAACAAAAAAAAAGUGUACUAUAAACUUCUCUCUAGACGUUUGUAUCGGUGUGUAUUGUGUACAUAAUACGAACUUGUGGACUAAUUUAGCUAGAUAAAAAUUUGUGUUGUGUGUAAAGCUUCGUUUUUAUGUUUAAUUACGUAAAACAUUUAAGAUGGUUUUUUUUAUGCAUUAGUUUUAUUUUUAAAUGAUUCAUCCAAUAAAGAAAUUGAUAUAUUGAAUAUCGUGGUACCGGAUGUAAAUAGCCUGAAUCAUUGUUAAAAAGUACUAAGUAUUGUAAAUUAUUACAAACGAUAGUUAAAGAGAAGAAAGAUAAAAAUAAGAAGAAAGAUAAAUAAAAAGAAAGAUAAGUUCAAAUAAGUGGCACAGCAGGUAAAUUAUUAUUUAAAUUAUAGAUUUUUAAGAAUUGCUAUUUCAUUGUCAUAAUAAUAAGAAAGUAAUUCACAAUUACAAUUAAUAUUAUCAGAAACAAUGGAAGAGGCAGAGGAAAAAUUAAUAAGAUUAAAAAGAACCCCUAUUCUUCUCUACCAAUAAUGAGUAUUCUGCUAAAGCAAAAGCGGCUGCUGUUGAAAAAAGUUUCAAAUUAAAAGCAUUAGCAAAGGAUUGAUUCAAAAUAGAUAAUAUAUUUAGCCAAAUAGCUUUAGAGUUAACUGACGAAUCCACUGAAAUUGCAGAACCUAAGAAAUAGAAGCCAAAAAAAUGUAACCAAAAAAUUGUGAAGAAACAAGCCUAAAAACAUAAUCUCGAAUGGUCAUCUACAUCAAUAGCGUCUUCGAUAUCUUCAUCACCACUGUCAUCGUUAUGUAAACCUAUGAAAAUAAAUAAUGAAACUAAAAAAACGAAUUAAUGACAGUACUAACUACAUUGUUGGCUCAAAAGGAAAAAAAAAUAGUUCAUAAUCUACACCAUGCCACCUUGAUCAUCUUCAUCAUCAACUAAAAGUAGAAAAAUAAGAAAAAUCAAUUCGAGUUUGAAGGACAUAAAUAUGCUUAUGGAAAUAGCACAUGAAGACAGUAUUAUCAGCAACAAUUGCUGAUAAUCCCUUUUCAUCAUCAUCAUAAAUCUGAAACAGAAGCUGAAAUGAAUAUAUUAGCAGCUAGAUCAUCAUCAACAAAAAAUACUGUAUCCAGUGAUUCUUUGCUGGAAUGUAUCAAACAUAAUAACAGUCUAUCAAAACAAUUAGCGAAUUUAAAAGUCCAUAUCUGCUGACGUUCCCAAAUCCUAUCUGAAAUAAAAAAAUAACAGUACUCAGCUGUUAGAUUUCAGUUUAUUAACAGAUCCUGAAGGAAAUCCAGUGGUCCAAAAAUUAGAAUUUCCGCUAUCAACAAUGGAAGAUAUUAUUUUGAUAAAUUCAAUGAAAAAUUAAAAGGCCAAAAAUAUAAAAAUAAAAUGGUAAGUUUUUAAUAAACUAUAUUCUUAUAUACAAAUAUAUGAAAGAUCUAAUAUAGUUGCUCUAUCUGACAAUAUUGAAAUUGACAUAUUUGAUAAAAUGCUAAUCAUAAUAAUUAAUUAAUCAUACAAAUAAUUAUAAUAAAUUUUCUUUUCCAGAAUAAACAUAUAUACUUUUCUCUUGAUGGAAAAAAUACUUUUACCCAUAAUAUGGGAAAUAUUACUCGUGUUUAUAUAACAAGAGAUGUCAUAAUUAUGUAGAAGUUAAAGCAACUUCAAAAAAAAGUUUUCAAAGAUACGACUUUUUCACUUCUAUAAAAAGUAUGUUAAUCAUUAUAUAGUGCAGGAUUACUAUCAUUGAUACCUAAUUAAUUAUUUCUUAAUUAUAUGUUAUUAUUUUAUACCUAAUAAUAAUUAUUUUUUACUAUUACUAAUUUAAUUACGUACAUGAUUAAUUUAAAUUUUGUAUUUAAGCUGCAGUAAGACAGAAAUUCGAAAAGAAUCAAGAAAGUAUUUUCGAUAAUAAAUUCCCUCAAGCAUUGUCUGCAGUAUUGAAUAAUGCUAAUAUAUUAAUAAAGAUUGGGAUGGGUACAGGGUAUUCAGGAUCAAAAAACUACCAUCUAAUGAAGAUAAAUAAAAACAACUAAUCGCUUUUAAUUUAUUUACUUUUUUAAAAUCUUUUUUUUUUUGCCAAGCAAACAAAAAGAAAAAUUAAUUCAUAAUAUUUAAUAACAAUCAUUAUUAUUAUUAACUUUAACAUAAAAAUAAUUGAUAUUUAAAGUAAAAACAAAAAUAAAUAAUACAUUUGAAAAAAAUAAAUGGAAAUAAAUAUGUUUUUUUUUUUCAAUCGGAUAAGUUUUAUUUCUGUUUAAGUGCACAAUAAAGUGUAUUGUUAUGUUAUGUUAAGUUAAAUAUAUAUAAUAUGUUAUUUUAAAUAUACAUAGUAUGUUAAGUAACAUAAUAUAUUUCUUUUUUUUUUUUCUGACGUGACGUCUAAUAAAUCGAUUAACGCCGGCUUCGUUACGCUCAUAUGUAUGCUUGUGCCGCAUCUAUCUGAUCGGCCUAUGCAUCCGAGGAGAUGUUUUGUUACGACGGUUUGCAGACAACCAAGUUUUUUAAUAAACAAUUUUGUCAAGACUGUACAUUCGUGUUUUAUUUAAAAGGACCGCUCUGGGCAUACUCGAUUUGGAUCAAGCAACCAAGGACCGGACCGUGCAUGCCUGAUCAGGACUAGAUAAGGCAUGUAACGCAAAUGAUGUAUCUGGACCUGACCAGGGAAACCUGAUCAGGUCCAGAUCAGGUAUGACCUGAGAUCAGGAAAACCUGAUCAGGUCCAGAUCAGGU
rnacentral:misc_RNA from 1 species